CGAGAAUAUUCGACAAUGGGCGAAAGCCUGAUCGAGCGAUACCGCGUGGUGGAUGAAGUGCUUCGGCACGUAAACACCUUUUAUGGAGGAGGAAGUUAUUGACGUUACUCCAUGAAUAAGGGGCUCCUAACUCUGUGCCAGCAGGAGCGGUAAUACAGAGGCCCCGAGCAUUACCCGGAAUUAUUGGGCGUAAAGAGUGCGUAGGUGGUCAUAUUAGUCGGUCGUUAAAACCCGGGGCUCAACCCCGGAGGUGCGACCGAAACGGUAUGACUCGAGGGCGUGAGAGGUACAUGGAACUCAUGGUGUAGGGGUGAAAUCCGUUGAUAUCAUGGGGAACACCNNACCCCGGUAGUCCACGCCCUAAACUCUGUCAACUGGCUUUCCGGAGUAUCGACCCUCUGGGAGGCGAAGCUAACGCGUUAAGUUGACCGCCUGGGUAGUACGGCCGCAAGGCUAAAACUCAAAGGAAUAGACGGGGGCUUGCACAAGCGGUGGAGCGUGUGGCUUAAUUCGUCGCUAAACGAAGAACCUUACCAGGUCUAGAAAUCCUACUGCACGCCUAAGGAAACUUAGGAAGCCUUCGAGGGUGUAGGACAGGUGAUGCAUGGCUGUCGUCAGUUCGUGGUUUGAACCGUUCCCUUCAGUGGGGUAACGAACGCAACCCUCGUUGCCAGUUACAAGUGUCUGGCGAGACUGCCCCCUCACGGGGGAGGAAGGUGAGGAUGACGCCAAGUCAGCAUGUCCCUCUGAUGACCUGGGCUGCACACGCGCUACAAUCGCCGUUACAAAGGGACGCAAUAUGGCAACAUGGAGCAAAUCCCAAAAAGCGGCGCCAGUUCGGAUUGGGGUCUGCAACCCGACCCCAUGAAGCCGGAAUCGCUAGUAAUCGUGGGUCAGCUAUACCACGGUGAAUACGUUCUCAAGCCUUGUACUCAAAAUUAAAUGCGCCUGGCAGGCGUUGAAUCCAGAUCGUUGAAAUCGAUCCCUCGCAGUAAUGCGAGCGUAGUGAACGGGUAGGUCCAAAGCCGCGA
rnacentral:rRNA from 1 species